rnacentral:rRNA from 1 species
UGAGGAAUAUUGGACAAUGGGCGAAAGCCUGAUCCAGCAACGCCGCGUGAACGAUGAAGCUGCUCUGCAGUGUAAAGUUCUGUAAGGAGGGACGAAUACCUGGGUAUUGCCCGGGGGGGACGGUACCUCCUAAGUAAGCACCGGCUAACUCCGUGCCAGCAGCCGCGGUAAUACGGGGGGUGCAAGCGUUGUCCGGAUUUAUUGGGCGUAAAGGGCUCGUAGGCGGGAUGGCAAGUCUGGCGUGAAAUCUCUCGGCUCAACCGGGAAGCUGCGCUGGAAACUGCCGUUCUUGAGUCACGGAGAGGAAGUUGGAAUUCCUGGUGUAGCGGUGGAAUGCGUAGAUAUCAGGAAGAACACCAAUAGCGAAGGCAAACUUCUGGCCGUUGACUGACGCUGAGGAGCGACAGCGUGGGGAGCGAACAGG